rnacentral:lncRNA from 1 species
GCGCGAAGCCUCCAUUGUUUGAAGUUUAUUAUGAUUUUGACAAUACAAGAUUGUCAUGGCGCCGGAGCAAAAGGCGAGACUAUGCACGCCUGACUAGGCUCCUGGCGCCACGAGCACAGCAGAUAACAGUGCAAAAAAA